CUUUAUUUUUUCUUUAUUUCUUUCUCCUUUUCCCUCUUUUCUCUCUUCUUUCUUUUCUUUUCUCUUCUCCCAACCUUACCCGUCGCUCCUCUAAACUACCACUGACGCCAUUCAACCUCCGCCAAUAGAAAGCCACUAAAGUGAUGCUCCUUGUCCUCUAUUCACUUUUCUCGCAUUAAAUUUCCUCAAACUCAAACCAAAACCUUCAAAAAAAAUCCAACAAACGUUUGAAGAAAAAGAAAUUUAAUCCACCGUUGUCCACCGUUAGAUCGAUCCCAUUUUUCGAUAUGAUGUUCUUCUCCAUCCAAGGAAGCUUUUCACUAUUAGGAUUGUCAAAUAGACAUCUCAAACCCCUUAGACCGGUCAAAUCCAAAUGAGUUAUGUUCUCUCUUUUCCUCUCUUCAUUGUUCUUCUCCUCUUUUUUUUUUUUUAUUUCCUUCUUAUUCUUCUCUAUUUCUCUUGCAGAAUCUUUGGUUAUUCUCGAUUGGGUUUGGGGCUGUGAUUUAUGGGUUGAGGAGGGAGGUGUUAAGACGUUGAAAUUUAUGGAUUAAAAACAUUAUAGUGGAGUUUCGGAAUUUGAAAGGCAUUUUCUAGGGAUCUACCCCUAUGUCUUCAGAAGGGUGUUUCUAUUAUAUGUCUUCAGAAGGGUGUAUAUGAUACACUUGGCUUUAUUUGUUGAAGAGCAAAUCAAAGGCCAUUGACAAAUUUCCACAGUUUUAAAAACUUAUUGAAGUUCAAUUUGGCUAAAAGAAUGGCUUGGUAGAGAGGAAACACAUACAUGUUGUAAAGAUUGGUCUUACCUUUCUAGCACAAGCCUCUUUACCUAUGCAUUUGUGGUCACAUGCAUUCUUCAGUGAUGCUUACCUCUUCAACAAGUUUCCUACUAUCGUGAUCUAAAGAAAGGCCCCCUAUGGGAAGUUGUACAAGGUCCACCAGAUUACAUGCAACUAAGAGUUUUUGUAUGCAAUUGCUACCCUUACCUCAGACUAUACAACAAAUACAAGCUGCAAUAUAGGUCCAAACCUUGUGUUCUUAUUGGUUACAGUCUAAUUCAUAAAGGCUAGAAGUGCCUUAAUGAAACUGGCAAGAUAUUUAUGUCAAGGCAUGUGAUUUUUUAUGAAAA